AUGCGGCGGGGCCGGGGCGCAGGGCUGGCGGGGCUGGCCGCGGUGCUCCUGGUGGCUGUGGGCAGAGCCCAGGUGCAGCAGGAGCCGUCGGCAGAGACCACCGAGGGCACCGGCAUCAGCAUCAACUGCUCGCACCCCAACAUGCAGCUCACAGAAUUCAUUUACUGGUACCGUCAGCUCCCGGGCCGGGGCCCAGCACUCCUCGUGAUCGGCAAUAAAGGCAGCAAGGAUGUGCGGGAGCCGCCGGGGCGGCUGUCGGUGGCGGCAGACCGCCGGUCCAGCGCCCUGUGGCUCGCCCGGCCCCGGCGCAGGGACGCGGCGGUGUAUUACUGCGCCCGAGGAGACACGGGGAGAGGAGCCGGGGCUGCGGCCGGGCACGAACCGCCGCGGGUGAUUAUUGUUCCUCGUCUGAUCUAUCACACCUCUGAGGAGGUGUUACGCCACUUUGAAGGAGACCUGAAUAGAGAAAAACGAGAGCCAAUUACAGUGGUAACCCUAGCUACUCUGCUGAUAGCGGGCGGAGUUGGAGCAGAGAACGGUUCGACAUAG